GACGAACGCUGGCGGCGUGCUUAACACAUGCAAGUCGAACGGAAAGGCCCUGCUUUUGUGGGGUGCUCGAGUGGCGAACGGGUGAGUAACACGUGAGUAACCUGCCCUUGACUUUGGGAUAACUUCAGGAAACUGGGGCUAAUACCGGAUAGGAGCUCCUGCUGCAUGGUGGGGGUUGGAAAGUUUCGGCGGUUGGGGAUGGACUCGCGGCUUAUCAGCUUGUUGGUGGGGUAGUGGCUUACCAAGGCUUUGAAGGGUAGCCGGCCUGAGAGGGUGACCGGCCACAUUGGGACUGCGAUAGGGACCAGACUCCUACGGGAGGCAGUAGUGGGGAAUAUUGCACAAUGGGCGGAAGCCUGAUGCAGCAACGCCGCGUGCGGGAUGACGGCUUUCGGGUUGUAAACAGCUUUCGCAUGUGACGAAGAGUGAGUGACGGUAAUGGGUAAAGAAGCACCGGCUAACUACGUG
rnacentral:rRNA from 1 species